ensembl:lncRNA
UGUGUUUAAGUUUCUUCUUGUCUUAUGGAGCUGUCUGUGACCUCUAACACAAUGUUGAAGGUAGACAUCCUUCUCUUUUCCUGACUUUAAAGGCAAUGUUUCCAACUUAUUUAGCAUUACUCAUUUUGCCUCAGUCUUUUGUGAUUGCUGCUUAAAUCAUUAUCUUUGCCCCGAUUUUCCCCUUUCUCUCAGCGCUUGUCUAGAUCUCCAUUUGUGUUUCAAAGACUGUGCAGACCCUCAAGUUACAAAGAUAUACACGAACUGUAGUCUAUCCCCAGGGAGACACUUUAUGAAGAUGGCACAGAAAUGAACAAGUAAAUGCCCUUAAAUAUUUUGAAUUCUUUGUAUAUACCUGUAUAGUGGCCAGACUCUCAUUAUCUUUCACUAUCCAAUGCAAGCACUUUCUAUAAUACAUUAUCUGAGUUAGUCCCUAACCUCAAAGUGCUUGCAGUCAACUGUCCUCCCGAGCAUUUUUAAAUUUAUCUUCUUUCCAUUACCUCUACUACUGCCUUAUUUCACACGUGGUACAUUAACUUAUUUCCUUGCCCCUGCUCUUACCUUCUUUUAAAUGACCCUUAAAGUUUCUGGCAGAAAUAAAACUGUUUCCAUUAUAACACUAAUGACAUAAUGUAUUGGCAUUGUUUCCUUGCAUGCAUCUCUCCACUUUUGGGUCAUGUGGUUCUUGUAGGAAUAAUCUGUAUCUCCAUUUUCUUUAUAUUUCUACCUUCUACCAUAGUGCUCAACAAAUGUUUAUUACACUCGAUGUCUUUUGAAUGAGUGAAUGAAUGACUGAAUCCAUUGAUAACUAGCACAAAUAUACUCUUACAUCUGUUGAAGCUUGAGAGAGAGACGCCAAUGUGGAAAGAUGACUCUGUGUUUCCACAAGACUUUGAUGUUUUCAUCACAGUCCAAGAUCUAGUCACAAGUUUUGAAAGUCUAGACUUCUAUUUCAUCUGUAUUAAGAGUUGUUGGUCUCCAUAGAACUGUCUUUUGGGGAGCUGUACCUUUAAACUGGUGUGACAUAUGUAUUCAGAUGCAAGUUGCUAUAUUAUUUGCAAAUGCUUGAGGCUGUCACUUUGGAGCAGCAUAGUCCAACAGAACUCUCUGUGAUGGUCAAAAUGCACAGGACCUACAGUGUAUAAUAAAAUAGCCACCAGCCACUCAUGGUUGUUGAGCAUUGAAAUGCGCAACUGAUAGCAGAAAAUUUAAUUUUGUUCAGUUUUAAUCAUUUAAAAUUUAUGUGUAAAUAGCAAUAGGUGGCUAGUGGUUACUUCAUUGCACAGUGCAACUCUAGAAUAAGGAAGGAAAUUUUUCUCCCGAGUUGUUUAUUUAUUGAGUCUUGAUUGGCUCUAGUAUAUACAGUCAUGUGCCGCAUAACGACAUUGUGGUCAAGGAUGGACCACAUAUAUAACAGUGGUCUCAUAAGAUUAGGACCAUAUAGCUAAGUGUGUAGUAGGCUAUACCAUUUAUAAGUACACUCUAUGAGGUUCACACAAUGGUGAAACUGCCUAACAACGUGUUUCUCAGAACAUAUCCUUGUGGUUAAGUGAUGCAUGACUGUAAUGUUACUUUAGUUUGAAUUUAGGUUUUGCGUUUGAAUCUGGUUUGCCUGGCUUUGACUGCCAACCUGCCUUCUUUUGUUCGAACUCAUAAAGCUCUCUUGAUCACUUUCACCGCUUCUCACAAUCUCAGUUGCAGAGAACCUCUGGUAUUGAACGUUGCCUGGUCUGAGGCUCUGGAUCUGGCUCUCAAUUCCAGCAUCCUACCUCUAGCAGCCAUGUCUUUUCUAGAUGUGCAUUCUGAUUGUGCCAAUUAGCAUUAUCUCCAAAUCACAAUAUACUUAUGUUUUAACCUGAAUGAAAAAUUAUAAGUGGAACUGAAAUAUACUAUAAGUGUAUGUUGGUUUGUCAAGUACAGUCUACCCUUUAAGAAAACCUAUAUGGGAAGCCAGUUAUUUUCGGAAGCGAUAUAAGACUUGCUGGUGAUAUGAAAUUUAGACUAUAGGUAGUGAGUUUUGUGGCUUUUAGCAGCUCAGAGCAUCAAGUUAUCUUUUUCCUGAAACUUUAUCAGUGAUCCCCGCUCUGUGCACCUGCCUGAGAAGGGAAAGAGUUCUCCUUCUAGUGGACUGCACGUCAUCCCUGGGGAGAGUGCUGGAGGCACUUGGAUUAUCACUUACACUGGGAUUUUCCUUUUUCUAUGCUUCAGGUUAACUAAACUCCUUCCUCUUACACUUUCUUUCUCCUAUAAGGAAAAACAAUUUUCACAUCUUUUAAAUUACAAUCUCAGUCUUGUUUCCCUGUUGAGAGUUGUCUUUAUUCAAAUGUUCCAGGUUCUUAAGGUUUUCAAUGGCUUUGCCGUGUUUACAUACACAAGAUUUCUCAAUUGUUUUGACUUAAUUGACUGAUCAAAUCAGGGAGCAGUCAUUAGAUUUGGUUCACCUGAUCUGUCAAGUAAUCUUAGAGGAUUUAACAAAUAAUUUAAAAGUAGUACAGGUAGAAAACUAAACCUGAUUUGUGAAGAAACUUUCUUAAACCUCUUCAUAUUUGCCAUUCUCAUUUUUAGAUGCCAGAUCAGAUGCAAUAAUGUGACCAAUACUUUGAGUUCUAUCAAGAUUGUCUAAAUUCUCUAUGAACCAUUAAUCUACAUUUGAAUAUAGUUGACAUCAAUCUGGUUGGUAAUUGGUGAAGAAUAUUAUUAUUAUGCAUCUCAAAAAUAAGUGACCUUGCAGUAGAUUAUAAGGAAAAAAAGGAGGUUUUGUACUUAGUAAACACAGUAAUAGUAAGGUUCUAUCCCUAAAAAUCCAUUGCAAUGAAUUCCUAAAAUUCAACAAUUCUGAGUAAAUGACAAAUUAUGAAAAUAAAAUUAAUAUCAUAUUAGAACGUCUAUGUAUUGGAACUGGGUUUGGGCAGUGAUUUAUCUGCAAACACAUACAGAUGAAUCAUGAAGCACACAUGAAGGAACACGUAAACCCCACAGAUCGUAUGACAACUACAUAAAUCAUUUCAAAUUCUGCAUUUCUAAAGAUCGCAAUAACUGAAAUUCAUCCCCUGUGAUACUAAAACAUUUUAUUUGGUGAGCAUGAGAAAAUUCUCCUGAUAUUUGGUUAGAGAGCAAAUAGAAAAUAAGCUUGAGCUGCAAAAUAUUAGCAGUUGAAUAUGGCUGGGAUUGAAAAUAAUUUUAAGACUUGGCUCAAAAAGAAACAUUGUUUAAACCCAUUGGCAUGCCUUAUAUUUUUUAAGCACUCCAAAUUAUUCCAAUACAAGUGAUCCAAGAACUUCAUUUUGACAUGCAAUGCAUUUUGGUCUGUACAUGAAAUCAUUUCUUUACUAUCCUUUGAGAGGUAAUACAAUGCAGUACAAGAACAGGCUUCAGAUUUUAGUAAUCAUGAGUUUGAAUCCAACUUAGUUGUAUGAAUUUGAGCAAGUUAUUUAAUCUCAGCUUUCUCAUCUGCAAUUUAUAAAGCUAGGUGGAUCAAAAGUAUUUAUAUGUUACUUAGCACAAUGUUCUCAGAUCUUUUUGAGGGGGAUAAGGUGAUAGUUUUGUCUUUAUCAUCCAGCUUUUUCUUCUUUAAGAGAAAAAUUCAAAGCAUAUUAUCUCAAAGGAAUAUUAUAAAAAAAUCAGAUCAAUAAAAUACUUUGAACCUUAACUUUUAAAAUAACUCUUUAUAGCAUGAUGACUAUCUAUAACCAUGAUCAAACUGGCGUCAGGGAAAGAAAAUUUACAAUUAGAUCAGAAAAAUUUGUGCAUAAACUAUCCUCUAUAGCAGCUGAUAAAAAAAUAUUCAUGGGGACACUUUGUACAUGGCAGUACUCUCAGGUGUUAAUCAAUGAAAAAUGGAGAGCCAUUACUCUGAAAUGAAUUCUAUGUAACUAUUUAUUAAAAUUCAAAUCUUGGUUUUUCUGAAUAAUACUCCAGUAGUUAGGCUGCUUCAUAGGAAAAUGCAAUAAUAAUAGUUCUACAUUAAUUUCAUGAUAUGGUAUUAUUAUUUUUCCAUAAAUUUUUUAAUGUUUUUAAC